rnacentral:rRNA from 1 species
CCUACGGGACGCAGCAGUGAGGAAUAUUGGUCAAUGGGAGAGAUCCUGAACCAGCCAAGCCGCGUGAGGGAAGACGGCCCUAUGGGUUGUAAACCUCUUUUGUCGGAGAACAAAACCCGGGACGAGUCCCGGACUGCGUGUAUCCGAAGAAAAAGCAUCGGCUAACUCCGUGCCAGCAGCCGCGGUAAUACGGAGGAUGCGAGCGUUAUCCGGAUUUAUUGGGUGUAAAGGGAGCGCAGGCGGCUUGGCAAGUCUGAUGUGAAAGGCUGGGGCUCAACCCCAGGACUGCAUUGGAAACUGUUAGG